rnacentral:sRNA from 1 species
GUAAAACCCGUUUUUACCCGGGGGUUAAAACGGGUUUAAAACCCCGGGGGUUUAACCCCCCGGUUAACCCCCGGGGGUUUUACCCCCCGGGUUAAAACCCCGGGGGGUAAAACCCCCGGUUUUCCCGGGGGGGGUUUAAAAAAAAAACCCGGGGGGUUAAAAAAAGGGGGGGGGGUAAACCCCCGGGGGGGUAAACCCCCGGGGUUACCGGGGGU